GACGAACGCUGGCGGCGUGCCUAACACAUGCAAGUCGAGCGGGGACUUGGGAGCUUGCUCCCGGGUUCUAGCGGCGGACGGGUGAGUAACGCGUGAGCAACCUGCCUCUUACUGGGGGAUAACGCAUCGAAAGAUGUGCUAAUACCGCGUAAGACCACAGCACCGCAUGGUGCAGAGGUCAAAGGAGCAAUCCGGUAAGAGAUGGGCUCGCGUCCGAUUAGCUAGUUGGUGAGAUAACGGCCCACCAAGGCGACGAUCGGUAGCCGACCUGAGAGGGUGAUCGGCCACAUUGGAACUGAGAUACGGUCCAGACUCCUACGGGAGGCAGCAGUGGGGAAUAUUGGGCAAUGGGCGAAAGCCUGACCCAGCAACGCCGCGUGAGGGAAGAAGGGUUUCGGCUCGUAAACCUCUGCCCUAUGGGACGAUGAAGUGACGGUACCAUAGGAGGAAGCCCCGGCUAACUACGUG
rnacentral:rRNA from 1 species